AUGUGCGAUUAUACCAGCACUACUACACUGGAUUCCAUCAGAAUUCAUCAGUUAACCGUGCUUGAAUGAGAGUAGUACUUGGAUGGGUGACCUCCUAUGACGUCCUCGUUUUGCAACUU
rfam:Lupinus angustifolius cultivar Tanjil contig_40848, whole genome shotgun sequence.